UGGUUCCUACGGGACGCAGCAGUAGGGAAUUUUCGUCAAUGGGCGCGAGCCUGAACGAGCAAUGCCGCGUGAACGAGGAAGGUCUUCGGAUCGUAAAGUUCUGUUGAAGGGGAAAAAGAGCGGAGAGAGGAAAUGAACUCCGAUUGAUAUUACCCUUCGAGGAAGUCACGGCUAACUACGUGCCAGCAGCCGCGGUAAUACGUAGGUGGCGAGCGUUAUCCGGAAUGAUUGGGCGUAAAGGGUGCGUAGGCGGCCUGCUAAGUCUGGAGUGAAAGGUACCGGCUCAACCGGUACAGGCUCUGGAA
rnacentral:rRNA from 1 species